AUUAAAAAUAUUUUACUGACCUAUAACUUUAAUUUCUCAGUAAUAAAGAUAAUAAUAAGAAAGACAACUUUCUUUUAAUCUUUAACUUUCACUUUUUCAUGAUAGGAUACGCCCAACGCGUCCUUAAAGUCUCAGCCAAAUGAAACUUGGGGCAACCUUGCCCUCGUCGUUGUGGUGCAACUGCACCUCGAUCUUCUGUCAGAUCAGAUCCUCCAAAAAUGGCGACACGAGUGGCAGCUGGUUUCGUGCGAUCCGCAACUAUAUUGAAAGUUAAGCCCGUUGAAUUUCAAAUACAGAGGACGAAAACGACCACUAGAAGUGGGCGGGUCCUCCCCAAACCGAAAAUGAGCUCCCUUACGCUUGUUGGGUCUUUCGUUGUCGCAAAUGCUGGAAUUUUGACUGGUGCCUCGUUCAGUAGGGCAUUCGCCAACUUUUUGGAGGAGCACGACUUGUUUGUGGUAGAAGAUGAUGAUGACGAUGACUAAUGCUUGGCAUCUGUCAUACUUUACGACUUAAAUUAUGAUUUACCACAUGCAUGUUGACCGACGGCAGAAAGGUUCUGUGUACUGUGAUCGGAGCCAGAUUUUAUUUAUGAAGACGUUGCCUCCUUCUGCCAGGCUGUGAAAUUGACUUUACUGUAAUUUUAAUUUUAUUUUAACUGUGUUACCACUGAUAAUUCGUGUUCUUAGUCCUUAGAUUUUAAUCCGCUUACUGUAUAAUUAUUGAGUUUCUGCUGAAUUUGCAUCAAUAAAAGUGUUAAAAAAAAUA